rnacentral:rRNA from 1 species
UACGGAGGGGGCUAGCGUUGUUCGGAAUUACUGGGCGUAAAGCGCGCGUAGGCGGCUUUGCAAGUCAGAGGUGAAAGCCCGGGGCUCAACCCCGGAAUUGCCUUUGAGACUGCAUCGCUAGAACGUCGGAGAGGUAAGUGGAAUUCCGAGUGUAGAGGUGAAAUUCGUAGAUAUUCGGAAGAACACCAGUGGCGAAGGCGGCUGACUGGACAUGUAUUGACGCUGAGGUGCGAAAGCGUGGGGAGCAAACAGG